rnacentral:rRNA from 1 species
UGGGAAUUUGGGAAUCGAAUGGCGAAAGGCCUGAAUCCAGCAAUGCCGCGUGUGUGAAGAAGGCCUUCGGGUUGUAAAGCACUUUUGUCCGGAAAGAAAUCCUUGGCUCUAAUACAGUCGGGGGAUGACGGUACCGGAAGAAUAAGCACCGGCUAACUACGUGCCAGCAGCCGCGGUAAUACGUAGGGUGCAAGCGUUAAUCGGAAUUACUGGGCGUAAAGCGUGCGCAGGCGGUUUGCUAAGACCGAUGUGAAAUCCCCGGGCUCAACCUGGGAACUGCAUUGGUGACUGGCAGGCUAGAGUAUGGCAGAGGGGGGUAGAAUUCCACGUGUAGCAGUGAAAUGCGUAGAGAUGUGGAGGAAUACCGAUGGCGAAGGCAGCCCCCUGGGCCAAUACUGACGCUCAUGCACGAAAGCGUGGGGAGCAAACAGGAUUAGAUACCCUGGUAGUCCACGCCCUAAAACGAUGUCAACUAGUUGUUGGGGAUUCAUUUCCUUAGUAACGUAGCUAACGCGUGAAGUUGACCGCCUGGGGAGUACGGUCGCAAGAUUAAAACUUAAAUGAAUUGACGGGGUCAUAGCGUUUCCU